rnacentral:rRNA from 1 species
UACGGGGGGAGCAAGCGUUGUUCGGAUUUACUGGGCGUAAAGCGCGCGCAGGCGGUUCUUUAAGUCAGGGGUGAAAGCCCAGAGCUCAACUCUGGAAUUGCCCUUGAAACUAGAGGACUUGAGUACGGGAGAGGUGAGUGGAAUUCCGAGUGUAGAGGUGAAAUUCGUAGAUAUUCGGAAGAACACCAGUGGCGAAGGCGGCUCACUGGCCCGUUACUGACGCUCAGGCGCGACAGCGUGGGGAGCAAACAGG